GAGGGGCAGCAUGGUCUUAGCUUGCUAAGGCUGAUGGCGACCGGCGCACGGGUGAGUAACACGUAUCCAACCUGCCGUCUACUCUUGGCCAGCCUUCUGAAAGGAAGAUUAAUCCAGGAUGGCAUCAUGAGUUCACAUGUCCGCAUGAUUAAAGGUAUUUUCCGGUAGACGAUGGGGAUGCGUUCCAUUAGAUAGUAGGCGGGGUAACGGCCCACCUAGUCAACGAUGGAUAGGGGUUCUGAGAGGAAGGUCCCCCACAUUGGAACUGAGACACGGUCCAAACUCCUACGGGAGGCAGCAGUGAGGAAUAUUGGUCAAUGGGCGAUGGCCUGAACCAGCCAAGUAGCGUGAAGGAUGACUGCCCUAUGGGUUGUAAACUUCUUUUAUAAAGGAAUAAAGUCGGGUAUGCAUACCCGUUUGCAUGUACUUUAUGAAUAAGGAUCGGCUAACUCCGUGCCAGCAGCCGCGGUAAUACGGAGGAUCCGAGCGUUAUCCGGAUUUAUUGGGUUUAAAGGGAGCGUAGAUGGAUGUUUAAGUCAGUUGUGAAAGUUUGCGGCUCAACCGUAAAAUUGCAGUUGAUACUGGAUGUCUUGAGUGCAGUUGAGGCAGGCGGAAUUCGUGGUGUAGCGGUGAAAUGCUUAGAUAUCACGAAGAACUCCGAUUGC
rnacentral:rRNA from 1 species